GUGCUGGCUUUGGCAGCACAUAUAUUAAAAUUGGAACGGUACAGAGAAGAUUAACAUGGCCCCUGCUCAAGGAUGACACGCAAAUUCGUGAAGCAUUUCAUACUAAA